AAAUCCAAUCAUACCCGAAUACCCCCCGGAAUUUAACCCAUUUAAAAAAGGAGGGAAAAAAAAUCUACCAGG
rnacentral:rRNA from 1 species